rnacentral:rRNA from 1 species
AGCGAACGCUGGCGGCAGGCCUAACACAUGCAAGUCGAGCGAACAGUUCGGGGGUUGUGGCGGACGGGUGAGGAACACGUGGGAACGGGACUAUAGGGUCGGAAUAACUCAGGGAAAGUGGUGAUAAUACCGAAUGGGACCUACGGGGGAAAGAUUUAUCGCAUUUAGUGCGGCACGAGUCUGAUUAGCUAGUUGGUUGAGGUAAUGGCGCACCAAGGCGACGUUCAGUAGCUGGUCUGGGAGGAUGAUCAGCAACACUGGGACUGAGACACGGCCCAGACUCCUACGGGAGGCAGCAGUGCGUAAUCUUGCGCAAUGGGCGGAAGCCUGACGCUGCCCUGCCGCGUGAAUGCUGUAGGUCGUAGGAUUGAAAAAUUCUUUCACCGGUGACGAUAAUGACGGUACCCGGAGAAGAAGCCCCGGCUAACUUCGUG